GGCUGGGUGGGGGUCUGGACCUUCAUUAGGGGAUUUAAUAAGCAUUUUUGAAUGGAUGAAUGAAUGAAUGAAUGAAUGAAUGAAUGAGUCCUCCAGAAGGGUAUAUACUAUUAAUUAAUCAUCACAACUGAAACAUAGUGAAGUGACACAGUUUUCCCCACUUCUAUGAAGAAGUGUCAGGUCCAGUACUUGCUCUGACUCUGCAGCCUGUGUGCUUAAUCACAUUGCAACACUGCUCCCAUCACACAGCAGGACUUCAGAACCAAUGCAAGCAGGGGUCUUGAUCCAGAUUCAAGAAGCAAGAAGACACUGGAUUUUCUGUGCUUAAUGUGACAGCUGACUUCUCUUUUGGAACUUGCCUUCUAUGCAGAAGAUGAAGUCACAGAUACCUUGCCUCAGCUGGCCUGACUUCUCACAAAGACCACUGAAGAUAAGCAAUAGCACAUAAAUACUUUAAUAAAAAUUCUCAAUUGGUAUGCACAGAGGGGAAACAGUUUUAUUCUCAAGUUUGCACAGGGAGAGUUAGGUUAAGGCCCUUGGUAACCACCGGUGAGUUAAAAUUCACAUAUUAUGCAUUAACUGUGUUAAACUUUGUUUUAGUGGAAUUCAAUGCAAUUCACUUGUAAGGAACUGCAAUGAUUUAUAAAACAGCUAAGCCCUUCUAGUUCCAUUCCUUGUUCAUCAUCCCCUAUCAAACCCGUUUUUCUCUGUACUCUACAUUCUUUGGAGAGGAAUUAUUGCUUCUUACAUCUCUUCAUGUGUGGCCACAUGAUCACCUUAUCCCAGCAUUUUUUUCUGCCCUGUCUUUCUCCUGCACUGAAGUUAUUCCACUCAGGAGGACCAGCACUAACAGGCUCUUCACUGCAUUUCUAUCCUCCAUAGCCUUCCUGACCAUCCUGUCACCGCAACCCAGGAAACAUGCUGUGAACUGCACAUGGAUUCAGUACAGACAAGUCAACUGAGAAAUAGGGAAAAGCAAACAUUCUUUUUUUUUGUUAAAUCAUUUUCUUAUUUGAAUUAGAAACAAGAUUGAUUUACAUGACAAUCCCAGUUCCCUCUCCCUCCUGUCCUCCCCUACUACCCACCCACCCCCAACUAAAACCUUACCUAUCACAUACCCUUUCUUCUAUUCUUCCCCUGACUCAACCUUUCUAAAGCAAACAUUCUUAGAAACAUAUUCAGAGUCCCCUGCCUGAGUUUGUUACUUAAAUGCUUCACUAUUUAUAUCUCUACACACACACACACACACACACAGAGAGAGAGAGAGAGAGAGAGAGAGAGAGAGAGAGAGGGGGGGGGGAGGAUCUAAGAGCUUCCCUGACCUCUAAGCACUAAGCACCAGGGCAGCUUCUCUGGUUGCAGCCUUCUUUAAAGCCCUGGUGUCUGUUACUGCUUUUCGAGAUAAUCAUGUGUUGUUGAUCUGUUCUCAAUCCUCCACACAAGCCUGUCUCCUGCAUACCAGAUGCAUUCACAUGGCAAAGUUUCUCUCUCUCUUACACACACACACACACACACACACACACACACACACACACACACACACGGUGACUAAAAUCUGCCUCGGGUAUGGUAGUCCUUUCUCAACAAUCACAUGAACAUUAGCAUUUUUGUCAUUUUAUUAAAUAUUCCUUAAUUUUUCUUCUCAAGAACUUCCUUUGAUUUUUUUUUUAAAGUUGCCUUUAUUACUUUUACUCAAGAAAUGUCUAUAUAUUCUGUAUUAUUCACUUUGGUGACUUUUAAUUUAAUCUUUGACAUUUUACAAAUUGCACAUGACCUUCAGAAUGGGGGUGGGAAGGAGGCCUUAUGCAGCAUCCUCAAUGCCAUCUUCACACACUGAGCACCAAUGUUUGCAGAGGUUAGUAACAUGCCCUAUUCCUAGCACUCAAACUGAUUAAAUGAAGGAAAAAACACCAUGUUUAAAUUAAAAGAAGACAUUCUUAAUACUUUAAAAUUUGAAAUUUUGUCUAAAAUAAUCUACUCGGAUGAAAAGCAAGCAAUCAGAUUUAGAUUUCAUCUUGCUUCCAAUCUUGAGUCAGCUCCUGAUGAAAGACAGAAUAUCAGAAUGAAAAAAGCUGAAAAGCUUUAAAACCCCAGGUUUCUAUACAGAGUGAACCUGGAUCACCCCUCUGAGACAUUGGAGAUGACCGGUGAAGUCAUGGUCUUUCCUGCCACAGCUUUGCAAAGUCAUCAGCUGGCCUACCAUGACAGAAAUUCUCCCAGAGCCAGGCUCUCUGGUCUUGGGAAAAGAACAAAGAAAUGAUCUGUAACUCUAAAAGCCCUCUAAAAGCACCACAUAUCCUUUUCUGCUCCAAAGGGCAGGAUUUAUAUUAACCAAGGAACUAAUUGCGAAGGCUACAUGGAUCUAAGAUGAUGUGAAGGUGAAUCGUUGAGCAUCAAACAGUCUUGUGUUACCUGGGCUGGGCAUUCAUCUCACAAGAGCUCUUUCCUUAGACUCAUAAAGUUUUCGGGUAUCGCUAAGUCUUCAGCUUUUCCCAAAUACCCAUUACAACCUAUGCAUAGCAGGAAAAUAUGUGGAAAGACUUAUGAACUUAUAACCAGACUCUUAGAAGAACAAACCUUCUAACAGUGUAAAAUACAGACUGUGUAUUAGAUAGCACAUUUACUAGAGCCAGCUUGAUAAAUGCUCUCAAAGGUCAAAAGAUGAGUAUUAGUAAUGUGAAAUUGGAAGAAAUCUUACAAGGGAAAUAAAAACAUUUGUUUCAGAAAACAGAACAGCUGUGAAGACAAAUAGAGGAUGAAAACAGCUGAGAAACAAGCUAGUGCUCUGCUACAUUGUAUCAAUCAGCUCUUUCUGAGGAGAGCGUGAAAGAGAGGUCACAUAUAAAACAGUAAAUAAAAACUAAGUUACAUGAAGAAGAGAAUGGUUGCUACUGGCACAUGGACUGUUGAUGUGCUGGCAAAAGACAACCUAAUGUAGAAGUAAGACAUAACGAAACAUGAGACUCGGGCAUGGUGGUUCAGCCUGUCUUCCUAGCACUUGAGGGGCUGAGACCUAGGAAUGCCAUGAGUCUGAAGCCAGCCUGGGCUUCAUAGUGAAUGCAAAGACAACUUGAGCUAGUGAGAGUCCCGUGCUCAAAGUGCAAAUAUAUGAAUCAGAAAAUUCUAAAUGUUCCCUACUAAAAAAUCAGUGUCAAACCCAUAUCCAUUUUUUAAAUAAUAACUUUCCAUACAAGAAAGCAAUGAAGGGAUAGUUUUGCUGUAGUUAAAGAAAUAAAUUUUGAAAUUUAAUAUUUUACCAUGUUUCCUUUAAAUGUGAAGGAGUCACACAUCAAGACCUCCAUUCCUACUUUCUUUGAGGUUACCUAUGGCCCUGUGGCUACACUGGCUCAAGGAAAUGGAUAGCAUAUACCACUGCCAGAUGUAGCCCAUCAGGGUCAAAUGUGGUCCUCAGGUCCUCCUGUGCUGCCCAACUUGACAUUUUAGGCAAAUUUGGGGCCUGUGAGUUGGAGGUUAGUACUGACAUGGCUGUCCUCCCCAGAGGCAAGUGUUCUUUGUGUGAGAUAGCACGUGUUUUCUAAUCUGCUGUUAUAAAUUCUAGGACAAUCCAGCAGCCAUGAUAUCACCUUAAUACAAAGAAUUUUGUGUUCUGAUAAGGAAUAGUAGAAAGAAAAUACAAGGUGUAUACUUAUAAAUGUGCACUUAAUCAUCUGCUUUCAACAAUCACAAAGCUGCAGAAAAAUAGAGAAGACGGUAAUCAUGUCUGGAGAUUUUAGCCUAUUGCACUUUAAACUGAGGAUGGAGCAGACACAAAGCAAGCAGAGAGUUCACGUCAAUAAACGUGAACUGUGGAUUAUUGAGAAUCUUUGUUAAACAUUAUGCUUGGCAGAGAGUGUUGACCCUUCUCAGGCACACAGAUUAUUUUAUGAAGUGCACAAGUCCAUUGAGAAAGCUCCUGGGGGGUUCCAGUUCAAUACAGUACACACUGGGAUGAAGGAAUACAAAUCCUAGUGCAGAAAAUUAGAAUUUAAACCCCAAUACUUCUGCACUCUUUCUGCUUACCACUUUUAUCUAAUUCAGGAACUUACUUUUAUACAAGCCUCAUAAAAUUGGUUAUCAACUAUUGCUUUUCUGAAAAUACUGAACUGGUCUGAGAGUAACUAACUCUUGGAAGGCUAUAAAACUCCCCCUAAGACUAUCAUAACCUAGAGUUUAGGAAGACGAUAGUGUUUGGUGGGUAUGUUAAUUUCUUUAAGGUUUAAUAACAACUCUUAUUUUAUAUUUAGUCUUAAGUUUUAACAUCUGUAAUUCUUUCUGGAAAAAGUACUUAUGUAACCUAGGGUUUAAGGUGAAAUGGCAUAAUUUUACAUAAUAAUUCCACAUUUAUGGCUGUUUUUGAAAUGUAAUUGCAGAGAACUGAGCUAAUCAAGCACUUUUCCCUUACAGUACAACAUCAUUUUCUGUCUAAAUAAGAGCACUCUGUUUUGUGUUUGUGUUUUCCUCAGUUCUGUUAUUUAACUACCUAUCUCACCCACUUUAACAACCAUUAAAAUGUGUUUGUUUUGCAUAUUUUACUUGUAUAUGGUCCUGCAAAAUCUUUAUUAUGUUGUUUGAACUUAUUUUAAAUAAAUACAGCCAUGCUUUCUUAACACAGUUCACAGUUUCUGUGAACUCCUUGUCUUCCACAUCAGCAUUAAUCAUCAGCAUCUACUCUGUUGUGCUUCACAACAGCAGAACAAGCCUCACUGUACUUUUAUUGCAUUUAAACUGUCUAGUCCUCUCUGAGGGACACUCUAGAUUCUUCCGUUGACUGUCUUCACAUGUGCUCUUGGACUAGGUAUGCAUUUAUGUGUCCUCUGGAGGACCUGAAUAAAGAUAACUACUCAAAAUCAGGAACCAUUCACUCCAAUUUUUGAGGCUGGGGCUUUCAUUGCCCUGAAGCUUGUGGAGCAGGAUAAGCUGGCAGCCAAUGAGCUCUAUCCAGGGAACUUUCUGUCUCUACAAUCCCAGUGCUGAGAUUUUAAUGUGAAUUCUGGGGCUUGAACUCAGAUCUUCAUGCUAAUACUUGAAGUAUUUUGCUAGCUGAGACAUCUCCUCAUUCCUGUAAGGUUUUCCCUUCCCAUUUCUGCUAUCACUUGAGAAGAAUGGUCUGUCUAACUCCCUGGCUUUGAGUAUGAUGAUGUGAUGUGAAGCCACCCCAUCCAGUUUGUCCAAAGAAGACUCAUCUUCCAUCACCCAACACAGACAGCCUGCAGUGUGUAAGUGAGUCCUAUGAACCAUGGAGCUUGCCUUUGUGCCUUAUCUUGAUGAAUGGCUGCCAAGGAGAUUGCUCAGAGCAAAGCAAAUGCUUUCUUUGCAUAAUGCAGGAUUUUAUGGUCGUCUGCUGCACAGCCUUGUUUAAACAUUGCCGAUCAGAAAGAGUGAUAGAAAUUGAAAUCGAGUAGGAAAAAAAAUCCCUACAGAAUAUGAACAUCAACUACAAAUUACAA
ensembl:lncRNA